rnacentral:rRNA from 1 species
ACCCAGACCGCCAGCUAAGGUCCCAAAGUCAUGGUUAAGUGGGAAACGAUGUGGGAAGGCCCAGACAGCCAGGAUGUUGGCUUAGAAGCAGCCAUCAUUUAAAGAAAGCGUAAUAGCUCACUGGUCGAGUCGGCCUGCGCGGAAGAUGUAACGGGGCUAAACCAUGCACCGAAGCUGCGGCAGCGACGCUUAUGCGUUGUUGGGUAGGGGAGCGUUCUGUAAGCCUGUGAAGGUGUGCUGUGAGGCAUGCUGGAGGUAUCAGAAGUGCGAAUGCUGACAUAAGUAACGAUAAAGCGGGUGAAAAGCCCGCUCGCCGGAAGACCAAGGGUUCCUGUCCAACGUUAAUCGGGGCAGGGUGAGUCGACCCCUAAGGCGAGGCCGAAAGGCGUAGUCGAUGGGAAACAGGUUAAUAUUCCUGUACUUGGUGUUACUGCGAAGGGGGGACGGAGAAGGCUAUGUUGGCCGGGCGACGGUUGUCCCGGUUUAAGCGUGUAGGCUGGUUUUCCAGGCAAAUCCGGAAAAUCAAGGCUGAGGCGUGAUGACGAGGCACUACGGUGCUGAAGCAACAAAUGCCCUGCUUCCAGGAAAAGCCUCUAAGCAUCAGGUAACAUCAAAUCGUACCCCAAACCGACACAGGUGGUCAGGUAGAGAAUACCAAGGCGCUUGAGAGAACUCGGGUGAAGGAACUAGGCAAAAUGGUGCCGUAACUUCGGGAGAAGGCACGCUGAUAUGUAGGUGAAGUCCCUCGCGGAUGGAGCUGAAAUCAGUCGAAGAUACCAGCUGGCUGCAACUGUUUAUUAAAAACACAGCACUGUGCAAACACGAAAGUGGACGUAUACGGUGUGACGCCUGCCCGGUGCCGGAAGGUUAAUUGAUGGGGUCAGCGCAAGCGAAGCUCUUGAUCGAAGCCCCGGUAAACGGCGGCCGUAACUAUAACGGUCCUAAGGUAGCGAAAUUCCUUGUCGGGUAAGUUCCGACCUGCACGAAUGGCGUAAUGAUGGCCAGGCUGUCUCCACCCGAGACUCAGUGAAAUUGAACUCGCUGUGAAGAUGCAGUGUACCCGCGGCAAGACGGAAAGACCCCGUGAACCUUUACUAUAGCUUGACACUGAACAUUGAGCCUUGAUGUGUAGGAUAGGUGGGAGGCUUAGAAGUGUGGACGCCAGUCUGCAUGGAGCCGACCUUGAAAUACCACCCUUUAAUGUUUGAUGUUCUAACGUUGACCCGUAAUCCGGGUUGCGGACAGUGUCUGGUGGGUAGUUUGACUGGGGCGGUCUCCUCCUAAAGAGUAACGGAGGAGCACGAAGGUUGGCUAAUCCUGGUCGGACAUCAGGAGGUUAGUGCAAUGGCAUAAGCCAGCUUGACUGCGAGCGUGACGGCGCGAGCAGGUGCGAAAGCAGGUCAUAGUGAUCCGGUGGUUCUGAAUGGAAGGGCCAUCGCUCAACGGAUAAAAGGUACUCCGGGGAUAACAGGCUGAUACCGCCCAAGAGUUCAUAUCGACGGCGGUGUUUGG